GUAGUGGUAGUAUAAUAAGUAUAUCUGUCUUCCAAACAGAAGGUUCAAGGGUGGUGAUCACUACA
rnacentral:tRNA from 1 species